rnacentral:rRNA from 1 species
CCCUUUGGGUGUGACUGCGUACCUUUUGUAUAAUGGGUCAGCGACUUAUAUUCUGUAGCAAGGUUAACCGAAUAGGGGAGCCGGAGGGAAACCGAGUCUUAAUUGGGCGUUAAGUUGCAGGGUAUAGACCCGAAACCCGGUGAUCUAGCCAUGGGCAGGUUGAAGGUUGGGUAACACUAACUGGAGGACCGAACCGACUAAUGUUGAAAAAUUAGCGGAUGACCUGUGGCUGGGGGUGAAAGGCCAAUCAAACCGGGAGAUAGCUGGUUCUCCCCGAAAGCUAUUUAGGUAGCGCCUCGUGAAUUCAUCUCCGGGGGUAGAGCACUGUUUCGGCUAGGGGGCCAUCCCGGCUUACCAACCCGAUGCAAACUGCGAAUACCGGAGAAUGUUAUCACGGGAGACACACGGCGGGUGCUAACGUCCGUCGUGAAGAGGGAAACAACCCAGACCGCCAGCUAAGGUCCCAAAGUCAUGGUUAAGUGGGAAACGAUGUGGGAAGGCCCAGACAGCCAGGAUGUUGGCUUAGAAGCAGCCAUCAUUUAAAGAAAGCGUAAUAGCUCACUGGUCGAGUCGGCCUGCGCGGAAGAUGUAACGGGGCUAAACCAUGCACCGAAGCUGCGGCAGCGAC